rnacentral:rRNA from 1 species
AACCUGGUUGAUCCUGCCAGUAGUCAUAUGCUUGUCUCAAAGACUAAGCCAUGCAUGUCUAAGUAUAAGUAUUAUACGGCGAAACUGCGAAUGGCUCAUUAAAACAGUUAUAAUUUAUUUGAUAAUCGAAUUUACAUGGAUAACCGUGGUAAUUCUAGAGCUAAUACAUGCUGGUAGGCCCGACUUUUUGGAAGGGCGGUAUUUAUUAGAUAACAAACCAAUAUUCCUCUGGUCUAUUGUGGUGAAUCAUAAUAACUGAUCGAAUCGCAAGGUUUUUAACCGCGAUAAGUCAUUCAAGUUUCUGCCCCAUCAGCUUUCGAUGGUAGUGUAUUGGACUACCAUGGCUUUUACGGGUAACGGAGGAUUAGGGUUCGAUUCCGGAGAGGGAGCCUGAGAAACGGCUACCACAUCUAAGGAAGGCAGCAGGCGCGUAAAUUACCCAAUCCUGACUCAGGGAGGUAGUGACAAGAAAUAACGGACCGAGGCCUUCGGGCUUCGGGAUUGCAAUGAGCCGAAUUUACACCCCUUAGCGAAGAUCGAUUGGAGGGCAAGUCUGGUGCCAGCAGCCGCGGUAAUCCAGCUCAAUAGCGUAUAU